GUGAACCAUACCAAACUGUUGCCUCGGCGGGGUCACGCCCCGGGUGCGUCGCAGCCCCGGAACCAGGCGCCCGCCGGAGGGACCAACCAAACUCUUUCUGUAGUCCCCUCGCGGACGUUAUUUCUUACAGCUCUGAGCAAAAAUUCAAAAUGAAUCAAAACUUUCAACAACGGAUCUCUUGGUUCUGGCAUCGAUGAAGAACGCAGCGAAAUGCGAUAAGUAAUGUGAAUUGCAGAAUUCAGUGAAUCAUCGAAUCUUUGAACGCACAUUGCGCCCGCCAGUAUUCUGGCGGGCAUGCCUGUCCGAGCGUCAUUUCAACCCUCGAACCCCUCCGGGGGGUCGGCGUUGGGGAUCGGGAACCCCUAAGACGGGAUCCCGGCCCCGAAAUACAGUGGCGGUCUCGCCGCAGCCUCUCCUGCGCAGUAGUUUGCACAACUCGCACCGGGAGCGCGGCGCGUCCACGUCCGUAAAACACCCAACUUCUGAAAUGUUGACCUCGGAUCAGGUAGGAAUACCCGCUGAACUUAAGCAU
rnacentral:rRNA from 1 species